GAUGAAGAACGUAGCGAAAUGCGAUAAGUAAUGUGAAUUGCAGAAAUCAGUGAAUCAUCGAAUCUUUGAACGCACAUUGCGCCCCCCAGUAUUCUGGCGGGCAUGCCUGUUCGAGCGUCAUUUCAACCAUCAAGCCCUGCUUGUGUUGGGGUCCUGCGGCUGCCCGCAGGCCCUGAAAACCAGUGGCGGGCUCGCUAGUCACACCGAGCGCAGUAGCACAUCUCGCUCAGGGCGUGCGGCGGGCUCCAGCCGUUAAAGCACCCACCUUUCGCAAGGUUGACCUCGGAUCAGGUAGGAAUACCCGCUGAACUUAAGCAUAUCAAUAAGCGGAGGA
rnacentral:misc_RNA from 1 species